rnacentral:rRNA from 1 species
CCUACGGGAGGCUGCAGUGAGGAAUAUUGGUCAAUGGACGAGAGUCUGAACCAGCCAAGUCGCGUGAAGGAUGAAUGCCCUAUGGGUUGUAAACUUCUUUUGUCUGGGAAUAAAGUGUUCCACGUGUGGGAGUUUGUAUGUACCAUAUGAAUAAGGAUCGGCUAACUCCGUGCCAGCAGCCGCGGUAAUACGGAGGAUCCGAGCGUUAUCCGGAUUUAUUGGGUUUAAAGGGUGCGUAGGUGGGUUGUUAAGUCAGUUGUGAAAGUUUGAGGCUCAACCGUAAAAUUGCAGUUGAAACUGGCAGUCUUGAGUACACGAGAGGUAGGCGGAAUUCGUGGUGUAGCGGUGAAAUGCUUAGAUAUCACGAAGAACUCCGAUUGCGAAGGCAGCUCACCGGACUGCAACUGACACUGAGGCUCGAAAGUGUGGGUAUCAAACAGGAUUAGAUACCCGAGUAGUC